GAUGAACGCUGGCGGCGUGCCUAAUACAUGCAAGUCGAGCGAACAGACGAGGAGCUUGCUCCUCUGACGUUAGCGGCGGACGGGUGAGUAACACGUGGAUAACCUACCUAUAAGACUGGGAUAACUUCGGGAAACCGCAGCUAAUACCAGAUAAUAUAUUGAACCGCAUGGUUCAAUAGUGAAAGACGGUUUUGCUGUCACUUAUAGAUGGAUCCGCGCCGCAUUAGCUAGUUGGUAAGGUAACGGCUUACCAAGGCAACGAUGCGUAGCCGACCUGAGAGGGUGAUCGGCCACACUGGAACUGAGACACGGUCCAGACUCCUACGGGAGGCAGCAGUAGGGAAUCUUCCGCAAUGGGCGAAAGCCUGACGGAGCAACGCCGCGUGAGUGAUGAAGGUCUUCGGAUCGUAAAACUCUGUUAUUAGGGAAGAACAAAUGUGUAAGUAACUAUGCACGUCUUGACGGUACCUAAUCAGAAAGCCACGGCUAACUACGUG
rnacentral:rRNA from 1 species